GGCAAGAUGGCCGAGUUGGUCUAAGGCGUCAGGUUAAGGUUACCUUAACACACAGCUUUCCCAAGCUUCCUGAUCAUCGUAAGAUGGCGUGGGUUCGAAUCCCACUCUUGUCA
rnacentral:tRNA from 1 species